CCUAUUAAGACACUUUAUGUUGGUGUUAUCUUUAUUUUAGCAGUUCCCUGUACUUUCAGAAUCUGAAAAAUAACAUGACAUUUUAUUGCAGAUAUUUGUUUAUUUUGAAGACAUAACUUUCCCAGAGGGGUAUACUACAAAGCAAGAUCAAUGACAUGUAACUUGAAUAAAUAUUCUGAAAUAACUAUAUUUUUUUGAAAGAUGAGCUUGAAAUGUGCAUGGUCUAAUUGACUCAAUAACCAAAAACACAUAUCUAAGUUUAGCUUUAGUCAAUAGUUAUUUAUGGUUUUAUCAAAGUUAGCCGGCUAACUCAUUGAUCCUGCUUUUUAGUAUACCCACCCCUCUGGUAGAUAAUGUCAAUCCCUCAUUCUGUAAUGACAAAAGGCUUCUGAAAUGUUUGUUUUCACUGCAUGCCUACCACUAAUGCAUAUGACUAUUGGCUACGUUAUGUGUCUGAUUAUUACCAUGAUCUCUAGAGAAAUUGUGUGAAUACUAGGCUGUCAAGUGUGUGUCUGUGUUUAUGUAUGCAAGCAUGUAAAGCUUCAACUGUUCAUCUUACUGCCUAUCAGUGAUUAUGCACUUCUUACAGGAUAUACAAUACGUUGUGCACAGGACAAGAGGGGAAAUAUGACAGGAAAAUGUGGUGAAUUCAACAAAGGGCCUUCCUAAAUGGCAGACAUUGGAGGAUGCAUGUGCUUUGAAUCAAAGCUGCUGCUGGUCAAUGAUUAACUCACCAUGUGUCCAACUUCAUCAGCUUUGAGGUUGAGUCAAGAAAAACAGAAGUAGGGACCACUGGAGGUUGGUGGCACCUUUAUUGGGAGGACGGGCUCGUGGUAAUGUAACAUAGAACAUGGUUUGAUGCCAUUCCAUUGGAUUUUUCUUUUGUCUGACUUUCUUUAUUGUCACAUAAUGAUUGCUGAAUAAUUUUGAAUGUAUGCAGGGCACUUGAUGUCAUUACAUAACUAUAAAGCUG